rnacentral:tRNA from 1 species
AGCAGCGUGGCUCAGUGGAAUGAGCAUGGGCUUGGGAAUCAGAGGUCACGGGCUCAAAUCCCGGCGCUGCCA